GACGAACGCUGGCGGCGUGCUUAAUACAUGCAAGUCGAGCGAGACUCUUCGGAGUCUAGCGGCGGACGGGUGAGUAACACGUGGGCAACCUGCCUGUCAGACUGGGAUAACACCGGGAAACCGGUGCUAAUACCGGAUAAUCCUUUUCUUUACAUGAAGGAAAGCUGAAAGACGGUUUCGGCUGUCGCUUACAGAUGGGCCCGCGGCGCAUUAGCUAGUUGGUGAGGUAACGGCUCACCAAGGCGACGAUGCGUAGCCGACCUGAGAGGGUGAUCGGCCACACUGGGACUGAGACACGGCCCAGACUCCUACGGGAGGCAGCAGUAGGGAAUCAUCCGCAAUGGACGAAAGUCUGACGGUGCAACGCCGCGUGAGCGAUGAAGGCCUUCGGGUCGUAAAGCUCUGUUGUUAGGGAAGAACAAGUACCGGAGUCACUGCCGGUACCUUGACGGUACCUAACCAGAAAGCCACGGCUAACUACGUGCCAGCCGCCGCCGUAACAC
rnacentral:rRNA from 1 species